ensembl:lncRNA
GAAUGAUGGAAAUGCAGAGUGCUGUAACUUGGUAUGUCAUGUUUUUACUGCAUGCAUUUUAAACUCAUAUGUAAGUAUGAAACUGAGCCGUGUCUUUUGUUCCAGAACUCCAGUUAUUCUCUGAUCAAUUGCUUCACGUCAGAAAAUUACGAGCCAGAUAUUAAUGAGCCGUCAUUACUUGUUGAUAAUAUGCUGUACUUCACCAAGUCUGAGAAGGGAUUGUACAGGAUAAACAAGAACGACACAAUUGACAACAUUUGGCCUCAGACGAUUCAAGCGGAGCAAACAUACCUGAAGCUGAUCGCUGGUAAAGGACAACACAAAGACAAAGUUUAUUCCUUCUUCACAGAGAAGCACAAAAGUAAAGACGGUGAGCAGUGGAUUGCACGAGUCUCUCAGAGCUGCAUGGUGAGCAGAGUCUCCCCAGAAAUCAUGAAG